rnacentral:rRNA from 1 species
ACGUAGGGGGCAAGCGUUAUCCGGAUUUACUGGGUGUAAAGGGAGCGUAGACGGCGAAGCAAGUCUGGUGUGAAAACCCGGGGCUCAACCCCGGGCCUGCAUUGGAAACUGUUUUGCUCGAGUGCCGGAGAGGUAAGCGGAAUUCCUAGUGUAGCGGUGAAAUGCGUAGAUAUUAGGAGGAACACCAGUGGCGAAGGCGGCUUACUGGACGGUAACUGACGUUGAGGCUCGAAAGCGUGGGGAGCAAACAG